CAUUAUUUUAGAUGUGAAUUGGUUAAACUGGAGUAGUAGUAGUUAGGAUCUUAAAACUUAAAGAAUUUGGCGGUAUUUUAGUCUAUUUAGAGGAAUCUGUUCCAUAAUUGAUAAUCCGCAUUGGACCUUACUUAAUUUAUUAAAUAUGUAUACCGCCGUUGUUGAAUAUCUUUUUAGAGUCUUAGUAAUUUUUAUAGUAUUUAUUGGAGAAUGUUUCAGGUCAAGGUGCAGUUUAUAGUUAAGUGGAGAUGGAUUACAAUAUUUUUAUAUACACGGAUUAUUAUCUGAAAGGGUAGUAUGAAGGUGGAUUUAAUAGUAAUAUUAUGAAGAUUGUUAAUAUGAUUUUAGCUCUAAAAUAUGUACACAUCGCCCGUCGCUCUCGUUAUAUUUAAGAUGAG
rnacentral:rRNA from 1 species